GCCCUAAUAGCUUAAUCCAAAGCAUCGGUCUUGUAAUCCGAAGAUUGGAGGCAAACCCCUCCUUAGCGCC
rnacentral:tRNA from 1 species